CCCCUUCCUCUUGCCAUAAAAAGUCAUACUUUAUCUAUACCCCUCCCCCUCCUUGCUGACAUAAUAGGAGACUGAUCCCCAAGUUUUCUCAGUUCUUUUUCAUUCUCAUCCCUUGUCCUUUCUCUUCUUUUCCUUUUGCCCCCUCAUUUGGGAAACGACAAAACACGGACCCCAGGUCCGUGGACUACCUUCGUGGACCUGGUCCAUGGACUACCUUUGUGGACCUGGUCCAUGGACUACCUUCGUGGACCACGGACCACUCCCGUGGACCACUCUCAUGGACCACUUGCGAGACACCAGAUUUUGGGGGUUUGAAUUCUUGACUGUGCAUGGAAAAAUGUGUUCGAGUCGAGUUCAGUCAUUAUUAUCAUUGUGGAAACUUUACACAAAAUGUGAAGUUCUAAAUCCAUUCACUAUAUGACCGUUCAAAAAUAUAAGUGUGCAAUUACAACUUUAA